GUGGAUAUAACUCAGUUGGUUUGAUAGAGCUAGGCUCUUGCAAGCAGAUGUCUCGAGUCCGCCCA
rnacentral:tRNA from 1 species